GACACGUGUGCCAGAUGG
rnacentral:siRNA from 1 species